rnacentral:rRNA from 1 species
CAGCAGCCGCGGUAAUACGUAGGGUGCGAGCGUUAAUCGGAAUUACUGGGCGUAAAGCGUGCGCAGGCGGUUUUGUAAGACAGGCGUGAAAUCCCCGGGCUCAACCUGGGAAUGGCGCUUGUGACUGCAAAGCUAGAGUGCGGCAGAGGGGGAUGGAAUUCCGCGUGUAGCAGUGAAAUGCGUAGAUAUGCGGAGGAACACCGAUGGCGAAGGCAAUCCCCUGGGCCUGCACUGACGCUCAUGCACGAAAGCGUGGGGAGCAAACAGGAUUAGAUACCCGUGUAGUCCCUGUCUCUUAUAU